CUGUAUUUAACGAAAAGCUUACAGACCCAUUUAAAAUAGCUGACGAUCUAUGGGUUCACAGUCCUCAGAAAUGACCGCCAGUUCAGUAUGGCGAUAUCUACAACUACCUCAUUAACACGCCAGGAAUUUAUACAGCAGGGGCGAUGAAGGCAUACAAGUCACUAGAUGGCCAUAACUUCUUUGUGUCUGGACAUGUGGGGCAGAUAUUGUACCACAGCAAUGAACACAUGAACGUAGUGUGUUUCUUAAAGUGUGCCGUCAUGCCAUCGCAGAAGAUAACCGACAAGAAACGGAAGCAUCAGGUGUGGAUCUGCUUGGAAAAAUUAAAAGGCUACGUAGUGUCUGCCCACUGCACAUGCAAAGCAGAUGGAGGGCACCGGCUUUUUGCCCUCCAACUGGAAACUGGGUCAAAGAGCAAGUGGGCGUGACGUCACUCGUCAACGUGCCUAUA